AUAUGUGUUUCAGUGGCUGGUUCACUGACUUAUAUAUUUACAUUUCUUUAGUAGACUGGAGACAUGAGGGUUGAUUGACUGGGCAACGUUUCCCCGUCCUACCUUGGUGUCUCUCUCUGGAUUCAUCCUGAUGAAAUGCCUGAAAAAAAGGAGCGUGUGUUCAGAGUUGGUGUGGAACACAAGUUUACUUAUGAGAUAAUAAUAAUGUUAAAAAUCUUUAUGUAUCAACAGGACUUCUUUACUACCCUAACUGUAGGUGAUGUUACAUUUUAUAAUCUUUGUAGGAGUUACACAUUGUUGAAUCUAGGUGAAACAUUUCAGUGAAAAUUGAAGGCUGUUCACUUAAUCAUCAAUUCUCAGCGCUUUUCAGUCUUUACUUUGAGUGAUCGACCUCCCUGUUUCGACCAAUCAGAACCGAAAUAGGCGGAGCAGAGUCUUCCAACCAAUCAGCGUUUUUUCUGUCGACGUUGGCUAGCGUGCGUCGUCACUGGCUGUGACGUUCGAGCGGGAGAGGAAGGGAGGAGGAAGAAGGGGGUAGAAUGGCGGUGAAAGAAAAUGGGGAAAACAGUGAAAAUACGAAGUAUAACCAAAGUUUGAGUCGUCGCAUUGGGUUGUUAGCACUAUGAGAACCUUCAUUACCAAAGAAGUCCGCAUGCUAAAACAAGCCUUGGAGCUGUUUUUGUGGAACAGGAAUGAGGCUGGCCGCUAAACACACCUGCGGUGAAGGUCUACUUGUUCAGCUGCUGCAGCCUGGAUGAAAAUACUAGCUCUCAAUUUACAGAGCAGAGAGGACUCAAACUUCACCCAGUGAGUCACAGAGAGAAGAGGCGGACAUGAAGAUUUCCAGAAGGUCCAGAGCCAGCUGCUGUCAUCUCCUCCUGCAGAGACAAAACAACACGUUAAUCACACCCUCUGAGAAGAUGUAUAUUGUGUGUAUCUCAUAUUGACAAAUAAUCAACUCAAAUACAUGACGUAUCUUCGCAGCUGACUUGCAUUAUGUGGUGUUUGAUUUUUGUUUGAUUUUUUUUAUGAGUGAAUAAACUGUCUUUUUUCUCUUCUAAUUAUAUUUACAUUUUAAUACAUAAAACUGUCUGUUCAUAGUAAGUUUCAAAACUAUUUUGUUCUUGGCGUUUUUAAUAGAAAUAACAAGAUUUUCUUACCUUCAGUGAAUCCAGUUGUUUCUGUGAUUUCACCUCAACAAUUAUUAAAACCAGGCUUUUUCCAAAUACAUAAAAUUAAUUAAAAAUGACUUUCUAACAAUGAGUUAAGUCUAUGAAUUAUUCAGACAAUGAGAACAGCUACUGAACAUAUAUAAUGUCAGUGCUCUGUGUUUCUAAAUCACCUGAAGGACACUGUAGUUAUCAAUGGACUAUAUCUUUAAGAACCAACUAACGCAAAUGUUUUGAAAACUGACGUUAACAAUUGAAAUAGGUGAAUGUUUUUGAA